rnacentral:other from 1 species
GUUAUCUGCCGUGCAGGCAGCUAAGAAA